AUUGAACGCUGGCGGCAGGCUUAACACAUGCAAGUCGAGCGGGGACUUCGGUCCUAGCGGCGAACGGGUGAGGAAUGCUUGGGAAUCUGCCCAGUAGCGGGGGAUAACGUUUCGAAAGGAACGCUAAUACCGCAUACGCCCUACGGGGGAAAGGGGGGGAUCUUCGGACCUCUCACUAUUGGAUGAGCCCAAGUCGGAUUAGCUAGUUGGUGGGGUAAAGGCCUACCAAGGCGACGAUCCCUAGCUGGUUUGAGAGGAUGAUCAGCCACACUGGAACUGAGACACGGUCCAGACUCCGACGGGAGGCAGCAGUGGGGAAUAUUGGACAAUGGGCGCAAGCCUGAUCCAGCCAUGCCGCGUGUGUGAAGAAGGCCUUCGGGUUGUAAAGCACUGUCAGCGAGGAGGAAGGGAGUUGUGUUAAUAGCACAGCUUUUUGACGUUACUCGCAGAAGAAGCACCGGCUAACUCUGUGCCAGCAGCCGCCGUAAGAC
rnacentral:rRNA from 1 species